CAACGGCACGAAAACGAUGUGCGCUCUUCCAUGGGGCAGAAGUCAGCGUGUUGUUGUGAUUCUGGAUGGUCAGAUAGCUAGCACCAAUGACAAGAAACUGCCAUGUGGGGAAUCAGUCCCCAGCUGCAGAAAGGCCUACAGUUCCUCCCCCUGAUGAUAGAAAGAAAGAGAUUCCUGGUCAGCUUUGGCAUCUCAACACAGCUCCUUUCCUGACAAUAGGGGCAAGUCUUCAAAAUGUUCCACUAGUGCUCUCUGGUGGCUGAGGUAAUUAAGUGUACUGUAAGAGUGGACGUAAAUCAGGUGGAAUCCACAGAUGGACCCACUCUGUCACUCAGGCCAGCUACAGUUACAGGCAUGGUGAGUAGUGGGAGAAGAGAAGGCCAAGCUACAGGCAUGGUGAGCAGUGGGAGAAGAGAAGGCCAAGCUACAGGCAUGGUGAGCAGUGGUAGAAGAGAAGGCCAAGCUACAGGCAUGGUGAGCAGUGAGAGAAGAGAAGGCCAAGCUACAGGCAUGGUGAGCAGUGGGAGAAG